ACUUCCUGGUGAUUCUCCACCACUUUAUGUAUCCAAAUCAAGGUUCUCACAAAGUGAUUCAUCCUGGUUUGAUUGGAACGACGAUGAAGCUGUGCUAUUCCCAAACUGGGAAACUGGAAUCACCUGAUUUGAAAGUGGGAUAACUUCUUCAUCCCAACUCCUUUGAGAUUUAUUCAACUUCCAGGUGAUUCUCCACCACUUUAUGUAUCCCAAUCAAGCUUCUUACAAAGAGAUUCAUCCUGGUAUGAUUGGAACGACGAAGAAGCUGUCAUAUUCCCAAACUGGGAAACUGGAAUCACCUGAUUUGAAAGUGGGAUAACUUCUUCUUGCUAGCUCGUAUGAGAUUUAUUCAACUUCCUGGUUAUUCUCCACCACUUUAUGUAUCCAAAUCAAGCUUCUCACAAAGUGAUUCAUCCUGGUUUGAUUGGAACGACGAAGAAGCUGUUCUAUUCCCAAACAGGGAAACUGGAAUCAUCUGAUUUGAAAGUGGGAUAACUUCUUCUUGCCAACUCCAAUGAGAUUUAUUCAACUUCCUUGUGAUUCUCCACCACGUUAUGUAUCCAAAUCAGGCUUCUCACAACGUGAUUCAUCCUGGUUUGAUUGGAGCGACGAAGAAGCUGUGCUAUUCCCAAACAGGGAAACUGGAAUCACUUGAUACCAAAUACACUUUUGUGUAUUAGAGUGUGUUUAAGAACAAUCAGAUUGUUUUGUGUAAGAUUAAAGAGAUUGAGAAAAUAAGUAGAGAGAGAAUAGAGAGAAUACUCAAAACUCCAUUAGUUGAUUUAAUGUCUCAGAUACAAGUUAUAUAUGAAGAGAUAAGGCUGGUACAAAGGGGAUUUCGAAAUGGAACUCAAAGCAUGUGAAGUCAAAGCUAGCUGGAUGGUUGAGAGGCUUCACAUGCUUGGACAGGCUGUAAAGUAGCUUUUCCUUUCCAGCUAUGACCAGACCUUAUCCAAACUGAUCCUUUCUUAUCCAGACUGCUCCUUGGCGUGAUAUACUCUCCAAAGUGUUGCAAGGUAACUUCCCAAGCCUUUAACUUAGUUACCACAGUAAAAGCUAAAGUUACUGUGGUAAAUCCCCAAAGUUACUGACUGCUUUAAUACUCUUCCUUUAUAGAUGUAUCCACUCUUUAUCUCCUCUUCUCAACAUUCCCAAACUGGGAAGCUGGAAUCACGUGAUUUGAAAGUGGGAUAACUUCUUCAUCCCAACUCCUAUGAGAUUUAUUCAACUUCCUGGUCAUUCUCCACCACUUUAUGUAUCCAAAUCAAGCUUCUCACAAAGUAAUUCAUCAUGGUUUGAUUGGAACGACGAAGAAGCUGUGCUAUUCCCAAACUGGGAAACUGGAGUCACCUGAUUUGAAAGUGGGAUAACUUCUUCUUCCCAACUCCUAUGAGAUUUAUUCAACUUCCUAGUGAUUCUCCACCACUUUAUGUAUCCAAAUCAAGCUUCUUACAAAGAGAUUCAUCCUGGUAUGAUUGGAACGACGAAGAAGCUGUGCUAUUCCCAAACUGGGAAACUGGAAUCACCAGAUUUGAAAGUGGGAUAACUUCUUCAUCCCAACUCCUAUGAGAUUUAUUCAACUUCCUAGUGAUUCUCCACCACUUUAUGUAUCCAAAUCAAGCUUCUUACAAAGAGAUUCAUCCUGGUAUGAUUGGAACGACGAAGAAGCUGUGCUAUUCCCAACCUGGGAAACUGGAAUCACAUGAUUUGAAAGUGGGAUAACUUCUUCUUGCCAACUCCUAUGAGAUUUAUUCAACUACCUGGUGAUUCUCCACCACUUUAUGUAUCCAAAUCAAGCUUCUCACAAAGUGAUUCAUCCUGGUUUGAUUGGAACGACAAAGAAGCUGUGCUAUUCCCAAACUGGGAAACUGGAAUCACCUGAUUUGAAAGUGGGAUAACUUCUUCAUCCCAACUCCUAUGAGAUUUAUUCAACUUCCUGGUGAUUCUCCACCACUUUAUGUAUUCAAUUCAAGCUUCUUACAAAGAUAUUCAUCCUGGUUUGAUUGGAACGACGAAGAAGAUGUGGUAUUCCCAAAUUGGGAAACUGGAAUCACGUGAUUUGAAAGUGGGAUAACUUCUCCAUCCCAACUCCUAUGAGAUUUAUUCAACUUCCUGGUGAUUCUCCACCACUUUAUGUAUCCAAAUCAGGCUUCUCACAAAGUGAUUCAUCCUGGUUUGAUUGGAACGAUGAUGAAGCUGUGCUAUUCCCAAACAGGGAAACUGGAAUCACCUGAUUUGAAAGUGGGAUAACUUCUUCAUCCCAACUCCUAUGAGAUUUAUUCAACUUCCUGGUCAUUCUCCACCACUUUAUGUAUCCAAAUCAAGCUUCUCACAAAGUGAUUCAUCCUGGUUUGAUUGGAACGACAAAGAAGCUGUGGUAUUCCCAAACUAGGAAACUGGAAUCACCUGAUUUGAAAGUGGGAUAACUUCUUCUUGCCAGCUCGUAUGAGAUUUAUUCAACUUCCUGGUUAUUCUCCACCACUUUAUGUAUCAAAAUAAAGCUUCUCACAAAGUGAUUCAUCCUGGUUUGAUUGGAACGACAAAGAAGCUGUGGUAUUCCCAAACUAGGAAACUGGAAUCACCUGAUUUGAAAGUUGGAUAACUUCUUCUUCCCAACUCCUAUGAGAUUUAUUUAACCUCCUGGUGAUUCUCCACCAUUUUAUGUAUCUAAAUCAAGCUUUUCACAAAGUGAUUCUUCCUGGUUUGAUUGGAACGACGAAGAAGCUGUCAUAUUCCCAAACUGGGAAACUAGAAUCACCUGAUUUGAAAGUGGGAUAACUUCUUCAUGCCAACUCCUAUGAGAUUUAUUCAACUUCCUGGUCAUUUUACACCACUUUAUGUAUCCAAAUCAAGCAUCUCACAAAGUGAUUCAUCCUGGUUUGAUUGGAACGAUGAUGAAGCUGUGCUAUUCCCAAACUGGGAAACUGGAAUCACCUGAUUUGAAAGUGGGAUAACUUCUUCUUGCCAACUCCUAUGAGAUUUAUUAAACUUCCUGGUGAUUCUCCACCACUUUAUGUAUCCAAAUCAAGCUUCUCACAAAGUGAUUUAUCCUGGUUUGAUUGGAUCGACGAUGAAGCUGUGCUAUUCCCAAACUGGGAAACUGGAAUCACCUGAUUUGAAAGUGGGAUAACUUCUUCUUGCCAACUCCUAUUGUUGAAAUGAGCUGAGUACAAUGCAAGAGAAGGCACAAGGAGUUAAGAGACUGAAAGGAAAUGAAGGGAUGAGACUUUGGGAGAGUUUGUGAUCAGCCAUAGCCGUACAAUCCGUACUGAAGGAACUGGCCGUACACAUCAAGGAUGAUCACAAACAUUAACCAAAGGUGAAAGUUAAAAUGAGGAGUUAGAGUGGUAAAAGGUGAAUGCCCUUAGUCUUGGAGAAGAAUCAGUCCGUUGGAGAAGGAUAAGGCUCGCGGUGACAGCCUGUCUCAUGCUGGAAAGGUAAAGCAAAAGCAAAGAUGCCUUACACAUGUGAGAACAGCCAUUGGAUCAAUUCAAAAUCGAGUCUAGCUCCUGUAUUGACUUCACAUGCUUUACCUUAUCCUUAGAGUCUUGGAAACCCUUGUAUCCUGUCCUAUAUAUUGUAAACUCUCUGAUUAAUAAAGACUAACACGAUUUCAUCAUAAUCUCUCUCUAGUUUAUCAUGUUUCUCUUCUACAUUUCAUAAAUCAUCUCAUCUCACUUUAAUCUUUCUCUAAAUCUCUCAAUACCUGUUCAACUCCCUAAAAUCAUAUGGUAUCAGAGCCAGGUUGGCUUUGGUAUUGAGAUUUAGAGUGUUCUUCAGCUUCAGUUCAAACUCAUUCAUACUUUCUUUUCGGAUCUAACAAAGCAAGAUGGAGGGAAACUACAAGGUCAUUACAGUUCCUGUUGCGUUGAAGGGUGGUAGUAACUACCUGUUGUGGUCGAGGCUAGUGAAGACAGCCAUUGGGAGGCUAGGGCUUUGGAGUCACAUCACGGAUGAUGCAACCAAGCCAGUGGCUAAAGACGGAGAACAAGGUGAAGGUGUUGGAGAUCAAGUUGCUGCUGCCGAGAAGAAGUGGAUUCAAGAAGACUUGAUGGUGCUUUCAGUGCUACAAGGAUCCCUUGAAAAACAUCUCUUGGAGGCCUACAGCUACUGCAAGACUCCAAAACACCUGUGGGAGGUACUCCAAAAGACUUUUGGGAAUGUUACCAAUCUGAACCGUGUGUAUGAGAUCAAGAAAGCUAUCAACACACUGGUACAAGAUGGGGAGGAGUUCACCAAGCAUUUGGGCAAGUAUAGAUCCUUGUGGUUGUUGAAAUGAGGUGAUGAAACUAUGUGAUAUGAAGCUAGAGAAGGUUAGAGGCUUGAGGAUGAAGUUAAGGAUGUGAGUGUACGGACAAGCCGUACAAUGUGGCCGUACAAGGUAAAGAAGAAGUUACCAUGAUCGGUUAACCGAGAAGGGAGUAAACGGAUCAGUCUUACCUUCUACCAUGCUCUACUUGGAUCAGACCGUUGAGAGAGCUUGAGGAGCGCAUCUGACAGGCUGUGCCAGGCUGUGACAGACUGUCAGCAUCCUAGUCAAAGAUCCAAGAUGCUUCACACGCGGGAAGAAGCUCAUUGGAUGCUUUAUGAUAUGCGCUCCUCUCUUGGUUGACUACACAUGCUUUAGCUUAUCUUUAAACCUUGAAAACCCUAAGCUCUCAUACUAUAUAAGUUGUAACCUCAUCAGAUUAAUGAUUAACGAGAUGGAAGCACUCUUUCUCUACUUUCUCUCUAGUUUGAAUCUCAAAGUCUCUUAAUCACUCUCAAACUAUGAUACUCGUUUAAAUCUUUCACUAAACUCCUCUUUAAUCUUUCUUAAUCUCUCAAUACCUUCUUAAAUCUCUAAGAUCUCAUGGUAUCAGAGCCAGGUUGGCUUUGGUAUUGAGAGAUCUUAGUCCUUUCGUGUGAUUCUUACUUAUCCCGUCUUGUGUUCUUGCGUUUGUUCUUGAGACUUUCGGGAAGUCUUGUCAUUGUGUUGAAGUAUUUUACUCUUGGUUCUUUGGUUCCGUGUGUUCUUGAAGAUCUGGUGUGGUAGAAGCUCAACUGAAGUACAAGAUUGAAGACUAGAAGUCACUAGAGGCAAAGGGAAGAUGGAAGGAAACUACAGUAAGCUUGUUACGGUUCCGGUUGCCUUAAAAGGUGUAGGAAACUACUUGUUGUGGUCUCGGCUAGUGAAGACUGCUAUUGGGAGGCUAGGGUUAUGGAAUCACAUCACGGAUGAUGGUCCAGAGCCAGUGGCCAAAGGAAAUGAGGAAGUUGAAGGUGGAAAAGUACUCACUGAAGCUGAAGUGAAGAAGAAAUGGGUUCAAGAAGAUCUGAUGGUGCUGUCGGUACUACACGGUUCUAUUGAAGUCCCUUUGCUUGAAGCCUACAGCUUCUGUGAGACACCUAAGCACCUAUGGGAGACGCUCCAGAAGACAUUUGGAAAUGUCUUAAACCUUAGCCGUGUGUUUGAGUUGAAGAAAGCCAUCACCUCCUUGACGCAAGAUGGUGUGGAGCUUACUUAACACAUUGAGAAGUUCAGAGCUCUUUGGUCUGAGCUGGAUAACCUGCGUCCAAGCACCAAUGAUCAAGAGAUCAUCAUGGAGAGGAGAGAGCAGGAUCAGGUGUUUGGGUUGAUGAUGACCUUAGACGUGUGCUACAAGGAUGUCAUCAAGCACAUGCUGAGAUCGCCAAGCCUACCAACAAUGGAGGAGGUGUGCUCUCAACUGCAGAAGGAGGAAGGCUCUCUAGGCUUGUUUGGAGGAAAGGGGGAGCUAUCUAUGGCUCAUCAGGCUGAAGUAUGGUGACCGCUUUGAAGGGAAUUGUGAUCAUUGCAAAAAGCCAGGUCAUAAGAAGAGCCAAUGCUGGAUACUUCACCCUCACCUCAAGCCAAGCAAAUUCAACAAGGAGAGAGAAGCCAGAGCUCACAUGUCCACCGAGGCAAGCAGUGGCAGUGCAUCCGGAGCUGGUACAUCCUCACAAGUGAAUGAGAGUGAAGGGCGAGCUCUCUCUUCUCACCACUCAGGAGGGAAGAACCUAGAGCAUGAGGUGAUCAGGAAGUCAGACAUAGAUGCACUCAUCAAAGCACUUAAGGAGUCUGGUAACAAACUAAGACACAAUACUCUUGGCUAUUCUUUUGCUACUCAUACUAUGCCUAGUAGAACUGAUAGGUUACUAAACAUAUUAGAGAGUCCCUUGAUUGGUAAAACUGAACAUAGCAUUGCUAAUAAACUCUUAGGAGUGCUUGAGAACUUAAAGAAUAACAAUGAUCAUCCUAGGAGUCAUCUAGCUAAGGACAUACAUAAACCUUUGAUUAUUGAUUCUGGUGCAUCUCAUCACAUGAUUAGUGAUAACAAGUUAAUUACGGAUAUAGAACCUACCCAAGGUCAUGUCAUGAUUGCUAAUGGUGAUAGAAUUCCUAUUAGAGGCAUUGGUAGGUUGAAACUGUUUAAUAAAGAUUCUAAAGCAUUGUACAUGCCUGAAUUUACUUCAAACUUGUUAUCUGUCAAGAGAUGCACUACGGAUCUUAAUUGCAAUGUUAUUUUUAGUCCUAAUGAUGUGAAGUUUCAGGAUAUUAAGAGCAGUAAGUUGAUUGGCCAAGGAGCAACUAAGGGAGACCUUUACAUGCUUGGAGAUCUCUCUCCUAUCUCUAGUUCUUGUUUUUCGUUUAGCUCGGUUUCUUUAAGUAAGGAUGCUUUGUGGCAUGCUAGGCUAGGACAUCCACAUGUUAGGGCCUUAAGCAUAAUGUUACCAGGUGUCAUGUUUAAAAAUAAUGAUUGUGAAGCUUGUAUUUUGGGAAAACAUUGUAAGAGUGUGUUUCAAAGAUCAGUUACAGUUUAUGAGAAUUGUUUUGACUUAAUCCACUCUGAUGUUUGGACUGCACCUUAUUUAUCUAGGGAUAAUUACAAGUAUUAUGUCACCUUCAUUGAUGAAACAUCUAAAUACACCUGGUUAACACUCAUUAAAACAAAGGAUAGAGUUCUUGAUGCAUUUAAAAACUUUCAAAACUAUGUUACUAACCACUAUAAUGCCAAGAUUAAGAUUUUCAGGUCAGAUAAUGGUGGGGAGUAUACAAGUCAUGCAUUCAAAGAACAUUUAGCUAGCCAUGGAAUCCUUCAUCAGACGAGCUGUCCUUAUACACCCCAGCAAAAUGGAGUGGCUGAAAGGAAGAAUAGACAUCUCAUGGAGGUGGCUAGAUCAAUGAUGUUCUAUACAAGUGUGCCUAAAAGGCAUUGGAGUGAUGCAGUGAUGACCGCAAGCUACCUAAUCAACAGGACACCAACCAAGAUUCUCAAUGAUCAGUCCCCCUUUGAGGUUCUUAACAAGAGUAAGCCAGUGCUGGAACACUUGAGGAUCUUUGGGUGUGUGUGUUAUGUGCUUGUACCCGGGGAAAUGCGGAACAAGCUAGAAGAAAAGAGUACCAAGGCUAUGCUGAUUGGAUACUCUACAUCCCAAAAGGGAUAAAAAUGCUUUGAUCCAGAUACCAGAAGAGUAUUGGUAUCAAGGGAGGUGAAGUUCUUUGAAGAUAAGGGAUAUUAUGAUGGGAAGAAUUAGGAAAAACUUGAAGAUCUAUCCAAACCAUCAGACAGGGCCGCAAGCUUGAGAAACAUCUUGCAAGGACUUGGCAUUGGAGUGUCACCAGAUCAACACAAACGCCAAGAAACACCACCUGUUAGAGUUGAAGAAUCAUCUCACUUAGAACAUGAAGGGGGAAGUGAAUCUGCUGAUACUGAAGUUCAAGGAACAAGUGAAGCCGAAGAUCAACAACAAAGCGCAGACUCUCAUGUUCAAAGUGAAGAUGACUCAAGGGGAAGUGAUAAACAUAGAAGUCAGGAAGCUAGUGAAGAAAGUCAGAUACCAGAAGAAGCCGUGGAAGAGAAUGUAGUAGUUCCAUUGAGGAGAAGCACACGGUUAAAGAGAGAUGCUUCCAACUGGGUAAACAUAAGAGUGUACUACAAUGCCCAAGCUGUGGAGCAUCCCUCUCAAGCUGUGUGCUCAUUUGCGUGCUAUCCAGAAGAGCAUUGCGCAUUUAUGAUCAGCUUAGAUGGAAGCUAUGUGCCUAGAUCAUAUGAAGAUGCAAUGUUACAUGAAGACUGGAAGGAAUCAGUAGGUGAUGAAGCUAAUGCCAUGAUAAAGAAUGAUAUUUGGUUUGAAAUUGAACUGCCGAAAGGACAGAAGGCAGUAACUAACAAGUGGAUAUUCACUAUCAAGUACAAGCCUGAUGGGAUUAUUGAGAGGAAGAAGACAAGACUGGUGGCUAGAGGAUACACUCAAACAUAUGGGGAAGACUACACUGACACCUUUGCUCCUGUUGCUAAGCUCCGUACAAUAAGAAUUGUAUUAUCUGUGGCUGAGAAUCUUGAGUGGGAGCUUUGGCAGAUGGAUGUGAAGAAUGGCUUUCUUCAAGGAGAGCUAGAAGAUGAAGUGUAUAUGCAUCCACCACCAGGCCUAGGGCAUCUUGUGAAACCCGGAAAUGUGUUGAGACUCAAGAAAGCUAUCUAUGGGUUGAAACAAUCUCCUAGAGCAUGGUACAACAAGCUCAGCACUACUUUAAAUGGGCGUGGAUUCAAGAAGUCAGAAUUGGAUCAUACUCUCUUCACACUUACUUCACCCUCAGGUAUCAUUUGUCUACUUGUGUAUGUUGAUGAUAUCAUUAUAACAUGUAGUGAUAAGGCUGGUAUAAAAGCCACCAAGGAGUUUUUAAAAUCUGUAUUUGAAAUUAAAGACUUAGGAGAAAUGAAAUACUUCCUUGGAAUUGAGUUGUGUAGAUCUAAGGAAGGAUUGUUCAUUUCCCAAAGGAAGUAUACACUUGAUCUUUUGAAAAAUGCAGGUAUACAAGGAGAUAAGACAGCAAGGAUGCCUCUUGAAGAUGGAUACAAGGUUCCACGUGAGGGGGAGGUUGAAGAUAGCAAGGUCUUUCAUGAUCCAAAGCUAUACAGGAAUCUAGUAGGGAAGCUCAUCUAUCUUACUGUCACACGUCCGAAUAUAUGCUUUGCUGUGAAUCAAGUGAGCCAGCAUAUGCAAGUCCCAAAGGAGCAUCAUUGGCGAAUGGUGGAGAGACUCCUCUUGUAUCUGAACGGUACAUCAGGCCUUGGAGUUUGGAUGGGAUGCAACAAGAGUACUGAAGUGGUGGGCUAUUGUGAUGCUGAUUGGGCAGGAGAUAGAGCAGACAGAAGAUCAACUACCGGCUAUUGUACAUUCAUUGGAGGAAGUCUUGUGACAUGGAAGAGCAAGAAGCAUAAAGUAGUAUCUUUUUCAAGUGCUGAAGCUGAGUAUAGGGCAAUGCUGAAGCUGCCAAAUGAGUUGGUGUGGAUAAAAGGGAUCUUGAAACAUUUUGAGAUAGAGCAAGCUACACCAAUGACUAUGCAUUGCGACAACCAAGCAGCUAUACACAUUGCAACCAACUCAGUGUUCCAUGAGAGAACCAAGCACAUUGAAGUAGACUGCCACAAGGUAAGGCAGAAGAUCGUUUUGGGAGUAAUCUUGCCAUGCUAUACAAGGAGUGAGGAUCAGUUAGCGGAUGUAUUCACCAAGGCAGCAAGACAAAAGACAAUGGAGUCCAAACACAUCAGGUUAGGACUCAUUGAUCUUUCACCCAUAGAAUAGUCCCCUGAUCAUGAGGUCUUUACUCUUUUUCCCUUAUCAAAGUUUUGUCCCAAAUGGGUUUUGUUUGGUAAGGUUUUUAAUGAGGAAGAUCUCAUGGUCCUUCCAAGCUUAACUUGUUCCACAUGGUUAAGCUUGAGGGGGAGUGUUGAAAUGAGGUGAUGCAACUAUGUGAUAUGAAGCUAGAGAAGGUUAGAGACUUGAGGAUUAAGUUAAGGAUGUGAGUGUACGGACAAGCCGUACAAUGUGGCCGUACAAGGUAAAGAAGAAGUUACCAUGAUCGUUUAACCGAGAAGGGAGUAAACGGAUCAGUCUUACCUUCUACCAUGCUCUACUUGGAUCAGACCGUUGAGAGAGCUUGAGGAGCGCAUCUGACAGGCUGUGCCAGGCUGUGCCAGGCUGUGACAGACUGUCAGCAUCCUAGUCAAAGAUCCAAGAUGCUUCACACGCGGGAAGAAGCUCAUUGGAUGCUUUAUGAUAUGCGCUCCUCUCUUGGUUGACUACACAUGCUUUAGCUUAUCUUUAAACCUUGAAAACCCUAAGCUCUCAUACUAUAUAAGUUGUAACCUCAUCAGAUUAAUGAUUAACGAGAUUGAAUCACUCUUUCUCUACUCUCUCUCUAGUUUGAAUCUCAAAGUCUCUUAAUCACUCUCAAACUAUGAUACUCGUUUAAAUCUUUCACUAAACUCCUCUUUAAUAUUUCUUAAUCUCUCAAUACCUUCUUAAAUCUCUAAAAUCUCAGUGGUCUGAGCUUGAAUCAUUGAGGCCAAGCACUACUGAUCAAUAGCUACUCAUGGAGAGGCGGGAGCAGGAUCAGGUGUUUGGAUUGUUGUUGACACUGGAUCCUCCAUUCAAUGAUGUGAUCAUGCACAUGUUGAGGAUGCCGAGUCUCCCAUCUAUGGAGGAAGUGUGUGCGCAGAUUCAGAAGGAAGAGGGGUCACUUGGUUUGUUUGGAGGGAAAGGAAAGAGACAAGUGAAGCCGGCGCAUCAGGAGCUGGUAAAUUGAAACUGGUAAAAGAACCACCUAGGAAUCAUAUUGCUCAAGGAAUAAAACCGUUGAUUAUUGAUUCAGGUGCUUCACAUCAUAUGAUAAGUGAUGAUAGUCUUAUAAAGAAUAUAGAACCGGCUCAUGGACAUGUAAUGAUUGCAAAUGGUGAUAGAAUUCCUAUUAGAGGUGUAGAAGACUUGAAACUGUUUAAUAAGAAUUCUAAAGCCUUGUACAUGCCUGGGUUUACUUCUAAUCUAUUAUCUGUUAAGAGAUGUACCAAUGAUCUUCAAUGCAAUGUUAUUUUCAGUCCUAAUGAUGUGAAAUUUCAGGAUAUUGAAAGCAGUAAGUUGAUUGGGCAAGGAGUAACCAAAGGAGACCUUUAUUUACUUGAAGACCUUUCUUUCAUUUCUAGUUCUAGUUGCUUGUUGAGUUAUGUUUUAAGUAGAGGUGCAUUGUGGCAUUCUAGGCUAGGACAUCCACAUGUUAGAGCCUUAAGCUUAAUGUUACCAGGUGUCUUGUUUAAAAAUAAUGAUUGUGAAGCUUGAAUUUUGGGAAAACAUUGUAAGACUGUGUUCAAGAGAUCUACUACUAUCUAUGAUAAAUGCUUUGAUCUUGUUCAUUCUGAUGUGUGGACUGCUCCAUGCUUAUCUAGAGACAAUUACAAGUACUUUGUCACAUUCAUAGAUGAGAAAUCCAAAUACACCUGGAUAACACUAAUUAAAACAAAGGAUAGGGUUCUUGAUGCAUUUAGAAACUUUCAAUCAUAUGUUUCUAACCAGUAUAAUGCCAAGAUUAAGAUUUUCAGGUCUGAUAAUGGUGGAGAAUAUACUGGCCAUGCAUUCAGAAACCAUCUAGCUCAACAUGGGAUACUUCAUCAAACGAGUUGUCCUUCAACUCCUCAACAAAAUGGAGUGGCUGAGAGGAAGAACAGACAUCUUAUGGAAGUGGCUAGAUCAAUGAUGUUUCAGAUGAGAGUGCCAAAGAGAUUCUGGAGUGAUGCUGUGAUCACGGCUUGCUACCUAAUCAAUAGGAUACCAACCAAGAUCCUGGAAGAUAAAGCCCCUUAUGAAGUUCUCAACAACAGCAAGCCAGUCCUAGAUCACCUAAGAUUGUUUGGGUGUGUAAGCUAUGUUCUUGUCCCAGGAGAGAUGAGAAACAAGCUGGAAGCAAAGAGUAUCAAAGCUAUGAUGAUAGGAUACUCAACUACACAGAAGGGAUACAAGUGCUUUGUUCCCGAGACAAGGAGAGUCCUUGUAUCUAGAGAUGUCAAGUUCUUUGAAGAGAAGAGCUACUAUGAAGAUAAAGAUUGGAAAGAGCUGGAGGAUCUUUCACAACCUUUGGAUAGAGCUACAAGCUUGAGACAGAUACUAGAAGGUCCUUGAAUUGGAAUGUCCCAGGAGUCGACAGAGGAUCAGUCAUCUGAAGGACAAGAAGCUGAAGAACCAUCUCACCUUGAUCAUGAGGGAGGGAAUUGAACUGAGCCGGAUGAGAAUCAAGAUUUUGCGGAGCAUCCUGAUCAAGGUGGAGCUGAACCAAGUAAUGAAGAGCUUAAUGAGUUACCAGAACAAGGAGAAGUGGAAGCAACUGAAGUAGAAGCACCAGAGCAAACACCAGCUGAGGUACCAUUAAGGAGAAGCACACGGCUGAAGAGAGAUGCUUCCAACUGGGUAAACACGAGAGUGUACUACAAUGCCCAGGCAGUGGAGCAUCCUUCUCAAGCUGUGUGUUCAUUUGCUUGUUAUCCAAAGGAGCAUUGUGCAUUCAUGAUGAGCCUAGAUGAAAGUAGUGUACCAAGAUCAUAUGAAGAAGCAAUGCUACAUCAAGAUUGGAAGGAAUCUGUUGGAGAUGAAGCAAAUGCUAUGAUAAAGAAUGACACUUGGUUUGAAAGUGAGUUGCCAAAAGGAAAGAAGGCAGUAACCAGCAAGUGGAUAUUCACCAUUAAGUAUCUACCUGAUGGAACCAUUGACAGAAAGAAAACAAGACUGGUGGCUAGAGGAUACACUCAAACAUAUGGGGAAGACUACAUCGAUACCUUUGCCUCUGUUGCCAAGCUACAUACAAUAAGAAUUGUAUUGUCUCUUGCUGUGAACCUUGAGUGGGAGCUUUGGCAGAUGGAUGUGAAGAAUGUCUUUCUUCAAGGAGAGCUAGAGGAUGAAGUGUAUAUGCAUCCACCACCAGGCCUAGAGCAUCUUGUGAAACCUGGAAAUGUAUUGAGACUCAAGAAGGCUAUCUAUGGAUUAAAGCAAUCUCCUAGAGCAUGGUACAACAAGUUGAGUACUACCUUAAACGGACGUGGGUUCAAGAAGUCUGAACUGGAUCACACUCUCUUCACUCUCACUACACCCUUAGGUAUCAUUUGUCUACUUGUAUAUGUUGAUGACAUUAUCAUAACAGGUAAUGAUAAGGCUGGUAUAAAAGCCACAAAGGAGUUUUUGAAAUCUGUGUUUGAAAUCAAAGACUUAGGAGAAAUGAAAUACUUCCUUGGAAUUGAGUUGUGUAGAUCCAAGGAAGGAUUGUUUAUUUCCCAAAGGAAGUAUACACUUGAUCUUUUGAAAGAUGCAGGUAUACAAGGAGAAAAGACAGCAAAGAUGCCUCUUGAAGAUGGAUACAAGAUUCCACGUGAGGGGGAGAUUGAAGAUAGCAAGGCUUUUCAUGAUCCAAAGCUAUACAGAAAGCUAGUAGGGAAGCUCAUCUACCUCACCAUCACACGACCAGACAUUUGCUUUGCUGUGAACCAAGUGAGCCAGCAUAUGCAAGUCCCAAAGGAUCAUCACUGGCGCAUGGUGGAGAGACUGCUCUUGUAUCUGAACGGGACAUCAAGCCUUGGAGUGUGGAUGGGAUGCAACAAGAGUACUGAAGUAGUGGGAUAUUGUGAUGCUGAUUGGGCUGGAGAUAGAGCAGACAGAAGAUCAACCACCGGCUAUUGUACCUUCAUUGGAGGCAACUUGGUGACUUGGAAGAGCAAGAAGCAGAAGGUGGUGUCUUGUUCAAGUGCUGAAGCUGAGUAUAGAGCAAUGCUGAAGCUCACCAAUGAGUUGGUAUGGAUCAAAGGGAUCUUGAAGCAUUUGGAGAUAGAGCAAGCAACUCCAAUGACUAUGCAUUGUGAUAAUCAAGCAGCUAUACACAUUGCAACCAACUCAGUCUUCCAUGAGAGAACCAAGCACAUUGAAGUUGAUUGUCACAAGGUGAGGCAGAUGAUUGUCUUGGGAGUAAUCUUGCCAUGCUAUACAAGAAGUGAGGAUCAGUUAGCUGAUGUCUUUACCAAAGCCGCGAGACAGAAGACCAUGGAGUCCAUUCACAUCAGGCUAGGACUCGUGGAUCUCACACCAAGUGGCUAAGUCCCCUUACUAUGAGGUCUUUACUCUUUUUCCCUCAUCAAGGUUUUGUCCCAAAGGGUUUUCCUUGGUGAGGUUUUUAAUGAGGAAGAUCUCAUGGUUUCCAAGCUUGAUCAAUCAACAAGAUCAAGCUUGAGGGGGAGUGUUGAAAUGAGCUGAGUACAAUGUAUGAGAAGGCACAAUGAGUUAAGAGACUGAAAGGAAAUGAAGGGAUGAGACUUUGGGAGAGUUUGUGAUCAGCCAUAGCCGUACAAUCCGCACUGAAGGAACUGGCCGUACACAUCAAGGAUAAUCACAAUCAUUAACCAAAGGUGAAAGUUAAAAUGAGGAGUUAGAGUGGUAAAAGGGGAAUGCCCUUAGUCUUGGAGAAGAAUCAGUCCGUUGGAGAAGGAUAAGGCUCGCGGGGACAGCCUGUCUCAUGCUGGAAAGGUAAAGCAAAAGCAAAGAUGCCUUAUACAUGUGAGAACAGCCAUUGGAUCAAUUCAAAAUCGAGUCUAGCUCCUGUAUUGACUUCACAUGCUUUACCUUAUCCUUAGAGUCUUGGAAACCAUUGUAUCCUGUCCUAUAUAUUGUAAACUCUCAGAUUAAUAAAGACUAACACGAUUUCAUCAUAAUCUCUCUCUAGUUCAUUAUGUUUCUCUUCUACAUUUCAUAAAUCAUUUCAUCUCACUUUAAUCUUUCUCUAAAUCUCUCAAUACCUGUUCAACUCUCUAAAAUCAUACCUAUGAGAUUUAUUUAACUUCCUGGUGAUUUUCCACCAUUUUAUGUAUCCAAAUCAAGCUUUUCACAAAGUGAUUCUUCCUGGUUUGAUUGGAACGGACGAAGAAGCUGUCAUAUUCCCAAAGUGGGAAACUGGAAUCACCUGAUUUGAAAGUGGGAUAACUUCUUCAUGCCAACUCCUAUGAGAUUUAUUCAACUUCCUGGUCAUUCUACACCACUUUAUGUAUCCAAAUCAAGCUUCUCACAAAGUGAUUCAUCCUGGUUUGAUUGGAACGAUGAUGAAGCUGUGCUAUUCCCAAACUGGGAGACUGGAAUCACCUGAUUUGAAAGUGGGAUAACUUCUUCUUGCUGACUCCUAUGAGAUUUAUUAAACUUCCUGGUGAUUCUCCACCACUUUAUGUAUCCAAAUCAAACUUCUCACAAAGUGAUUCAUCCUGGUUUGAUUGGAACGACGAUGAAGCUGUGCUAUUCCCAAACUGGGAAACUGGAAUCACCUGAUUAGAAAGUGCGAUAACUUCUUCAUCCCAACUCCUAUGAGAUUUAUUCAACUUCCUGGUGAUUCUCCACCACUUUAUGUAUCCAAAUCAAGCUUCUCACAAAGUGAUUCAUCCUGGUUUGAUUGGAACGACUAAGAAGCUGUUCUAUUCCCAAACUGGGAAAAUGGAAUCACCUGAUUUGAAAGUGGGAUAACUUCUUCUUGCCAGCUCGUAUGAGAUUUAUUCAACUUCCUGGUGAUUCUCCACCACGUUAUGUAUCCAAAUCAAACUUCUCACAAAGUGAUUCAUCCUGGUUUGAUUGGAACGACGAAGAAGCUGUUCUAUUCCCAAACUGGGAAACUGGAAUCACCUGAUUUGAAAGUGGGAUAACUUCUCCUUGCCAACUCCUAUGAGAUUUAUUCAACUUCCUGGUGAUUCUCCACCACUUUAUGUAUCCAAAUAAAGCUUCUCACAAAGUGAUUCAUCCUGGUUUGAUUGGAACGACAAAGAAGCUGUGCUAUUCCCAAACUGGGAAACUGGAAUCACCUGAUUUGAAAGUGGGAUAACUUCUUCAUCCCAACUCCUAUGAGAUUUAUUCAACUUCCUGGUGAUUCUCCACCACUUUAUGUAUCCAAAGCAAGGUUCUCACAAAGUGAUUCAUCCUGGUUUGAUUGGAACGACGAUGAACCUGUGCUAUUCCCAAAAUGGGAAACUGGAAUCACCUGAUUUGAAUGUGGGAUAACUUCUUCUUCCCAACUCCUAUGAGAUUUAUUCAACUUCCUGGUGAUUCUCCCCCACUUUAUGUAUCCCAAUCAAGCUUCUUACAAAGAUAUUCAUCCUGGUUUGAUUGGAACGACGAAGAAGCUGUCAUAUUCCCAAACUGGGAAACUGGAAUCACUUGAUUUGAAAGUUGGAUAACUUCUUCUUGCCAGCUCGUAUGAGAUUUAUUCAACUUCCUGGUUAUUCUCCACCACUUUAUGUAUCCAAAUCAAGCUUCACACAAAGUGAUUCAUCCUGGUUUGAUUGGAACGACGAAUAAGCUGUUCUAUUCCCAAACUGGGAAACUGGAAUCACCUGAUUUGAAAGUGGGAUAACUUCUUCUUGCCAACUCCUAUGAGAUUUAUUCAACUUCCUGGUGAUUCUCCACCACGUUAUGUAUCCAAAUCAAAUUUCUCACAAAGUGAUUCAUCCUGGUUUGAUUGGAACGACGAAGAAGCUGUUCUAUUCCCAAACUGGGAAAUUGGAAUCACAUGAUUUGAAAGUGGGAUAACUUCUUCUUCCCAACUCCUAUGAGAUUUAUUCACCUUCCUGGUGAUUCUCCACCACGUUAUGUAUCCACAUCAAACUUCUCACAAAGUGAUUCAUCCUGGGUUGAUUGGAACGACGAAGAAGCUGGUCUAUUCCCAAACUGGGAAAUUGGAAUCACAUGAUUUGAAAGUGGGAUAACUUCUUCUUCCCAACUCCUAUGAGAUUUAUUCACCUUCCUGGUGAUUCUCCACCACUUUAUGUAUCCAAAUCAGGCUUCUCACAAAUUGUUUAAUCCUGGUUUGAUUGGAACGACGAAGAAGCUGUGCUAUUCCCAAACUGGGAACUUGGAAUCACAUGAUUUGAAAGUGGGAUAACUUCUUCUUCCCAACUCCUAUGAGAUUUAUUCAACUUCCGGGUGAUUCUCCACCAUUUUAUGUAUCCAAAUCAAGCUUCUUACAAAGAGAUUCAUCCUGGUUUGAUUGGAACGACGAAGAAGCUGUGGUAUUCCCAAACUGGGAAGCUGGAAUCACGUGAUUUAAAAGUGGGAUAACUUCUUCUUCCCAACUCCUAUGAGAUUAAUUCAACUUCCUGGUGAUUCUCCACCAUUUUAUGUAUCCAAAUCAAGCUUCUUACAAAGAGAUUCAUCCUGGUAUGAUUGAAACGACGAAGAAGCUGUGCUAUUCCCAAACUGGGAAACUGGAAUCACCUGAUUUGAAAGUGGGAUAACUUCAUCAUCCCAACCCCUAUGAGAUUUAUUCAACUUCCUGGUGAUUCUCCACCACUUUAUGUAUCCAAAUCAAGCUUCUCACAAAGUGAUUCAUCCUGGUUUGAUUGGAACGACGAAGAAGCUGUGCUAUUCUCAACCUGGGAAACUGGAAUCACAUGAUUUGAAAGUGGGAUAACUUCUUCUUGCCAACUCCUAUGUGAUUUAUUCAACUACCUGGUGAUUCUCCACCACUUAAUGUAUCAAAAUCAAGCUUCUCACAAAGUGAUUCAUCCUGGUUUGAUUGGAACGACAACGAAGCUGUGCUAUUCCCAAACUGGGAAACUGGAAUCACAUGAUUUGAAAAUGGGAUAACUUCUUCUUCCCAACUCCUAUGAGAUUUAUUCAACUUCCUGGUGAUUCUACACCACUUUAUAUAUUCAAAUCAAGCUUCUUACAAAGAGAUUCAUCUUGGUUUGAUUGGAACGACGAAGAAGAUGUGGUAUUCCCAAACUGGGAAACUGGAAUCACCUGAUUUGAAAGUUGGAUAACUUUUUCUUCCCAACUCCUAUGAGAUUUAUUCAACUUCCUGGUGAUUCUCCACCACUUUAUGUAUCCAAAUCAAGCUUCUCACAAAGAGAUUCAUCCUGGUUUGAUUGGAACGACGAAGAAGCUGUGCUAUUCCCAAACUGAGAAACUGGAAUCACAUGAUUUGAAAGUGGGAUAACUUCUUCUUCCCAACUCCUAUGAGAUUUAUUCAACUUCCUGGUGAUUCU
rnacentral:lncRNA from 1 species